CGGCCACCGCUAUUGGAAUUCGAUUAAGACAUGCGAGUCGAGAGUCGUAAGGACUCGGCGGACCGCUCAGUAACACGCGGAUAACAUGCCCUAAGGUGGAGGAUAAUCUCGGGAAACUGAGAAUAAUACUCCAUAGAUCUAGAAUGCUGGAAUGCUUUUAGGUCGAAAACUCCGGUGCCUUAGGAUUGGUCUGCGGCGUAUCAGGUUGUAGUGGGUGUAACGGACCCACUAGCCGAUGACGCGUAUGGGCCUUGAGAGAGGAAGCCCAGAGAUGGACUCUGAGACAUGAGCCCAGGCCCUACGGGGCGCAGCAGUCGCGAAAACUUCACAAUGGGGGCAACCCCGAUGAGGGAAUUCCAAGUGCUAGCACUUUUUGUGUUAGCUGUUCUUUUGUCUAAAAAACAAGAGAAGUAAGGGCCGGGUAAGACGGGUGCCAGCCGCCGCGGUAAUACCCGCGGCCCGAGUGGUGGUCGAUAUUAUUGAGCCUAAAACGUUCGUAGCCGGUCUUGUAAAUCCUUGGGUAAAUCGGCCAGCUUAACUGUCCGAAGUCCGGGGAGACUGCAAGACUUGGGAUCGGGAGAGGUCAGAGGUACUUCUGGGGUAGGGGUAAAAUCCUGUAAUCCUAGAAGGACCACCGGUGGCGAAGGCGUCUGACUAGAACGAAUUCGACGGUGAGGAACGAAGCCCUGGGGCGCAAACGGGAUUAGAUACCCCGGUAGUCCAGGGUGUAAACGCUGCGGGCUUGGUGUUGGGGGUCCUUAGUGGGCGCCCAGUGCCGGAGAGAAGUUGUUAAGCCUGCUGCUUGGGGAGUACGUCCGCAAGGAUGAAACUUAA
rnacentral:rRNA from 1 species